UACGUAGGGUGCAAGCGUUGUCCGGAAUUAUUGGGCGUAAAGAGCUCGUAGGCGGCCUGUCACGUCGGCUGUGAAAACCCGGGGCUCAACCCCGGGCCUGCAGUCGAUACGGGCAGGCUAGAGUCCGGCAGGGGAGACUGGAAUUCCUGGUGUAGCGGUGAAAUGCGCAGAGAUCGGGAGGAACACCAAUGGCGAAAGCAGGUACCUGGACUAUUACUGACACUAAGCUGCGAAAGCUAGGGGAGCAAACAGG
rnacentral:rRNA from 1 species